rnacentral:rRNA from 1 species
CUACGGGCGGCUCCAGUCGCGAAUCUUUUACAAUGCACGAAAGUGUGAUAGAGCGAACCAAAGUGGUUUUCGUUUAGAAAACCUUUUCUUCAUUUUAAAAAGAUGGAGGAAUAAGGACUGGGCAAGACCGGUGCCAGCCGCCGCGGUAAUACCGGCAGUCCAAGUUGCAUCCCUUUUUAUUGGGUCUAAAACAUCCGUAGCUUGUUCGUUAAGUUUUUUGUGAAAUCCCAUUUCUCAAAGAUGGGGCGCGCAGAAAAUACUGACGGGCUAGAGAUCGGUAGACGUGAGGAGUACGCCGGAGGUAGUGGUAAAAUACGUUAAUCUUCGGUGGACUAACAAUCAGCGAAGGCACCUUACGAGGACGAAUCUGACAGUGAGGGAUGAAGGCCAAGGGCGCAAAACGGAUUAGAUACCCCGGUAGUC